UGCUCACAAAAACUGCUUGAGCCCGACGAAGAGCCCGGACUCUGAAUCCACAGAGAAUUGGAAAGGAACAGGAAAUUCACCAGACAGAGAGAGGACGAGGGUUGAUUCAGUCGCCUGGGUUCAUGCUGUGGAGUCAUGAGGCCGGUGUAGAGGCUUGUGAUACCCUGGCAAUUAGCACAAGUCCAGCGGGACCCUUGUGAAGGGCAGACACAGGAGAAAAAGAGAUCUCUGGAGCAUCACUAGUGGGAAAGAGAAUUGGCGCACGAAGACAGCUGAGACUGAGAUGAAGACAAAGGUUCUUAUCCUGUUUCUAGCCCUUUUGAACAAGUUUCCUUGUUUGAACAAGUUUCCAGAGCUUUCUACCCUCAGAAGGGGAAGGAGACUGUCUUUUAGUGUGAGGCAUGCAAAGUGUAACCUGCCCUUCCAGGGUGAGCUCUUCCAAUUACCACGGGGCUGCCCAAAGAAAAUCAUCGGAAUUGAAGAUACAGCAUCACACUGGUAGGCUCUAGAAUGAGGGAGGCAGCAGCCCUUUUCCCUUGUGGCGUUCAGACCACAAGCAGAGAAUGAGCCAUACCUGGAAAAGCAGAAGAGGGUGUGCAGGGUUUCGAGGUACCUUGAAGGGCACAUAGAGCUGGCUUCCCAUGGGCUGUCCUGUAGAAGAUUUAUUAGACUUGCUGAGUCUGGUCUCCAGAGCUGGGCUGUUGGUGGACACUGAAGAUUUAUCCUGUUAGAACAAAGCUAUCUCUAACUGCCUUGAGAAGUGAAUUCUUUAUUCCUGGAAAGAACCAAGGUACCAACAUUUCGAGGACAAUAGCAUCAGUGGGACAGCCAGCCCUGAAAGCUAACUUCGCUUCAUUGUUUCAAAAAGUGGUGGUUUCCACUGUGAAGAAAUGUGGUUUAAAGUUUUUAUUGUUUUCACUGCUGGAGGUUAACGUGGUGAGUGAAUUUUGAGAACAAGCAUUUCCAACAGUUCUGCUCUAACAUGAAAGUGGAGACUAUGUAACAACAUAUUUUAGGAACUCUAACUUGGAAGGUGCUAAAAAAAAAAAAAAAAAA